rnacentral:rRNA from 1 species
AUUGAACGCUGGCGGCAUGCUUUACACAUGCAAGUCGAACGGUAACAGGUUAAGCUGACGAGUGGCGAACGGGUGAGUAAUGCAUCGGAACGUGCCCGAUCGUGGGGGAUAACGCAGCGAAAGCUGCGCUAAUACCGCAUACGAUCUGAGGAUGAAAGCGGGGGACCGUAAGGCCUCGCGCGAUCGGAGCGGCCGAUGCCAGAUUAGGUAGUGGGUGGGGUAAAGGCUCACAAAGCCGACGAGAUGUAGCUGGUAAGAGAGGACGACCAGCCACACUGGGAACGAGCCACGGCCCAGGCUCCUACGGGAGGAAGCAGUGGGGAAUCUUGGACAAUGGGCGAAAGCCUGAUCCAGCAAUGCCGCGUGCAGGAAGAAGGCCUUCGGGUUGUAAACUGCUUUUGUACGGAGCGAAAAGGCUCUCUCUAAUACAGGGGGCUCAUGACGGUACCGUAAGAAUAAGCACCGGCUAACUACGUGCCAGCCGCCGCCGUAAUAC